rnacentral:rRNA from 1 species
CCUACGGGUGGCAGCAGUGGGGAAUAUUGGACAAUGGGGGGAACCCUGAUCCGGCCAUGCCGCGUGUGUGAAGAAGGCCCUCGGGUUGUAAAGCACUUUCAGUGAGGAAGAACGCCUGGUGGUUAAUACCCAUCAGGAAAGACAUCACUCACAGAAGAAGCACCGGCUAACUCCGUGCCAGCAGCCGCGGUAAUACGGAGGGUGCGAGCGUUAAUCGGAAUUACUGGGCGUAAAGCGCGCGUAGGUGGCUUGAUAAGCCGGUUGUGAAAGCCCCGGGCUCAACCUGGGAACGGCAUCCGGAACUGUCAAGCUAGAGUGCAGGAGAGGAAGGUAGAAUUCCCGGUGUAGCGGUGAAAUGCGUAGAGAUCGGGAGGAAUACCAGUGGCGAAGGCGGCCUUCUGGACUGACACUGACACUGAGGUGCGAAAGCGUGGGUAGCAAACAGGAUUAGAUAACCUGGUAGUC